AACGAACGCUGGCGGCAGGCUUAACACAUGCAAGUCGAACGCCCCGCAAGGGGAGUGGCAGACGGGUGAGUAACGCGUGGGAACAUACCCUUUCCUGCGGAAUAGCUCUGGGAAACUGGAAUUAAUACCGCAUACGCCCUACGGGGGAAAGAUUUAUCGGGGAAGGAUUGGCCCGCGUUGGAUUAGCUAGUUGGUGGGGUAAAGGCCUACCAAGGCGACGAUCCAUCGCUGGUCUGAGAGGAUGAUCAGCCACAUUGGGACUGAGACACGGCCCAAACUCCUACGGGAGGCAGCAGUGGGGAAUAUUGGACAAUGGGCGCAAGCCUGAUCCAGCCAUGCCGCGUGAGUGAUGAAGGCCUUAGGGUUGUAAAGCUCUUUCACCGAUGAAGAUAAUGACGGUAGUCGGAGAAGAAGCCCCGGCUAACUUCGUGCCAGCAGCCGCCGUAACAC
rnacentral:rRNA from 1 species